UACGUAGGGCGCAAGCGUUGUCCGGAAUUAUUGGGCGUAAAGAGCUCGUAGGUGGUUUGUUACGUCUGCUGUGAAAACCUAGGGCUUAACCCUGGGCCUGCAGUGGAUACGGGCAGACUAGAGGUAGGUAGGGGAGAAUGGAAUUCCCGGUGUAGCGGUGAAAUGCGCAGAUAUCAGGAGGAACACCGGUGGCGAAGGCGGGUCUCUGGGCCAAAACUGACGCUGAGGAGCGAAAGCGUGGGGAGCGAACAGG
rnacentral:rRNA from 1 species